rnacentral:rRNA from 1 species
AUUGAACGCUGGCGGCAAGCCUAACACAUGCAAGUCGAGCGGAUGACGGGAGCUUGCUCCUUGAUUCAGCGGCGGACGGGUGAGUAAUGCCUAGGAAUCUGCCUGGUAGUGGGGGACAACGUUUCGAAAGGAACGCUAAUACCGCAUACGUCCUACGGGAGAAAGCAGGGGACCUUCGGGCCUUGCGCUAUCAGAUGAGCCUAGGUCGGAUUAGCUUGUUGGUGAGGUAAUGGCUCACCAAGGCGACGAUCCGUAACUGGUCUGAGAGGAUGAUCAGUCACACUGGAACUGAGACACGGUCCAGACUCCUACGGGAGGCAGCAGUGGGGAAUGUUGGACAAUGGGCGAAAGCCUGAUCCAGCCAUGCCGCGUGUGUGAAGAAGGUCUUCGGAUUGUAAAGCACUUUAAGUUGGGAGGAAGGGUUGUAGAUUAAUACUCUGCAAUUUUGACGUUACCGACAGAAUAAGCACCGGCUAACUCUGUGCCAGCCGCCGCAGUAA